GGAAAAGAACGUCAACGGUUUCUGGCCGCGUUCUCUGCACGCAGACGUAGUUUUUUGUGAAAUGACCUCUCCAUUCCUGUACAAAAUAAAAACUCCCUUCUCAAUUGGCGUCUACCGUUUUACAAAAUAAGAACUCCAUCUAGGUCCAUGCUCCCAGGCCUAUGUAUCCUCUUAAUUGGUUCCUGCACUGAUGCAAGGGGGAUCCGGCUCGUCUCCAAUGACUGAUGCUACAACAAACGUCCAACAAGCUUGUAGAUGGUCAACACGUGGAGAUGAAAAAUCUGACGGUUUGACGAACUUCAACAUAUUUCUCCUCUUGUUGAAAGAUCGCAGAACUGAAAGAGGAUUUGAAAUCGAUCUCGCAGACUCGUCUCCCUCUACUCUAUUUUUUUUCCUCUUUCUCUCUUCAUACACACCAAAGCCCCAACUUGUAGAGGGGUUUGAAAUCGAUCUUGCGAACUCAUCUCCCUCUAUUCUAACGGUAGGAUUGUUGAUCUCUAAGCAAGAGAUUCAAGGUCGCAGGCGCUUUCAGAGGGGUUGGAGGCAUUGAGCUUCAGGGUCACAGAGCGUCCAAUCUCUCUUCUCGCUAAACAUCUGCAAAGUUGCUCGAUGAUACUUAUGACUUGCAAGGAAUAUCAUCCCAAGCUUCAACAAAUAGCAACAUCUUUCCCCCAUUCAAAUAGUGUCUGAUCAAUUUUAGUUGUUAAGUUUCUUUUCUUACUUAUGGGAACAUAUAUGCCUUAGUUGCAUUUAUGGAAUUCUAAUGUGUGUUUGAAAUUGAUUUCUUUUUGUUAU